rnacentral:rRNA from 1 species
AACCGUAGAAGCGCAUUGGAAACUGGGAGAAUUGAGUGCAGAAGAGGAGAGUGGAACUCCAUGUGUUGCGGUGAAAUGCGUAGAUAUAUGGAAGAACACCAGUGGCGAAAGCGGCUCUCUGGUCUGUAACUGACGCUGAGGUUCGAAAGCGUGGGUAGCAAAC